rnacentral:tRNA from 1 species
GGUAGGGACGCUAUUUGGUUUGGCAUCAUUGCUCUUGCAGUGCAGGUCCUUCUUAAGAAGGGCUAGGUGGUUCGAUUCCAUCCCCCUACCGCCA